UUUAAAAUUAAAAAUGUUAAAUUUCCCCCAAAUCAUGUCGUGACAUUGUCUGCUUUAGAACUGCUAGGUAUGGGAAAAAGAUCUAUCAAAUCCUGUCUGACGUCAUAAUGGAAAAAUGACAUCAUAGCAUUAUACGAACAAAUCAAUUAUGACGUCAUAACAGAAUAAGCACAUGAAAGCAUCACUGCAAUGAGUGUCACGUGACAGAUGUCCCAUAAGUUAUGGUACAUGACAGUGGACAGUGGUGGUUAAUUGAUGGCUAGUGAGUAAUGGUAAAUAAGUGGCAUAGGUAGUAAGUGGUACGUAGGUGCAUAUAAAAGUGAGUGGAUGGCAGUGAUAGUUAGUGUGUUUGGAAGAGUAUGUUUGAACAAAGAAACGGAUUAAAACGAGAAUGUUCACCGAAAACUUGGCAUAUAUGGCUCUGUGUAAAUUUUGUCAGGGGGCGACAGCGGUUCACUUUGGCGCUCUUAUCAGCAAUCAGCUGACUACCAAUGUAAACACAAACACACAAAGACUCAUCUCUACAGCAGGACACCUAGGGAAAUGUCCAGGAAUUAAACACUAAUCAGACCAUUCUCCAGCUUCAUUUUCCUGAGAAUUGUAGAGGAUCUGAAACCUUUGAUGGCGAAGAUGCAUUUGGCUUUUGCCCCAGUAACAUAGGUAUGCAUACUUCCGUUGUGACACCUUUGUUUCCGUCUUUUGGACAAGAUCGAAGCACAGCAGUUUAUACCAAUAAGAAAACGCACCUACAGUACAUGUAGCGCAUCGGAAAUUCAUCAUAAAAUACGACAUCUUACUGGACAUGUAACAUAUGGUACCCUUAUUUCAUAAAUGUGCAAUAUCUCAACGUCUUCUAAAAGUGCAACAUAUCAAUGUUACCAAUCAAAAUCUGCAUAAGUGUGCAUACAAUGUGAUGAUAUUAACACUUGCAACAAUUCAACGUCACAUAAAAACAUCUGAAGAGAAAUAGCCCGGGAAUUGGCAAUUAGGGUUGUGACAACAUAGAAAGCCAAUGGAAUUCCUUUACGCUGUGAUUAUACUGACAGGGAUCGGCCAUCUGGCGUUGAUAGUAUUGUACUGUUUGGUUGCUUGGUCAAAGAGUGGGGGCUGCAGGGGGAAGGAUUCAAGUACAACGAAUACUAGUUCUACACCCGACCCAACCCAAAACAACCGUGCUCCACAAGACAUGGAAAGGGCUGGUGUCGACCCCUCAGGGCAACAAGACAGCGCUCGGCAGGACACAUUGCAACCAACAGGUGACCACUCAUUUCUGACCAAUACGUGGAUUUCAAAUGUGAGGACUAGAAUUCGAACCAUUGCGACCGGAAGUGGCGGGAAUGACAGUGAGGGUUCUGGGGGACAAGCUGGGCAAGUGGCCGGUGAGUCGGUGGACUCACCCCCCUCGUAUGAAGAGGCCACGAAGCACUGGGACAGGUCGCUCGACCCACCGCCCUCGUAUAAGGACUCAGUUCUCGACUCCACACAUCCGGGUGUUUGACGCCGCGCUGUUCGUACGAUAUUCUUCUUACUGUGUUCCGUUACCAUGACAUAUUUAAAAUUACGCAAACUUUUCGGUAUAUGAGAAACAGAGUGGUGACAAUAAUCAGGUUUACUAACUGUCAGGUUGGACCUUUCCACAUCCAGAAAAGUAUCCAGAAACCCAGACAGAGCUUAAUAUCGCUCUCUGCUUGAGAGCUAUAUAUCGAACACCUUUGAUACUAGAUAUAAAACUCCACUUCCAGCUGUUA